GAUCAUGGCUCAGGAUGAACGCUGGCGGCGUGCUUAACACAUGCAAGUCGAGCGAAGCACUUAAGUUUGAUUCUUCGGAUGAAGACUUUUGUGACUGAGCGGCGGACGGGUGAGUAACGCGUGGGUAACCUGCCUCAUACAGGGGGAUAACAGUUAGAAAUGACUGCUAAUACCGCAUAAGCGCACAGUACCGCAUGGUACGGUGUGAAAAACUCCGGUGGUAUGAGAUGGACCCG
rnacentral:rRNA from 1 species